rnacentral:rRNA from 1 species
GAUGAACGCUGGCGGCGUGCCUAAUACAUGCAAGUCGAGCGAACAGACGAGGAGCUUGCUCCUCUGACGUUAGCGGCGGACGGGUGAGUAACACGUGGAUAACCUACCUAUAAGACUGGGAUAACUUCGGGAAACCGGAGCUAAUACCGGAUAACAUGUUGAACCGCAUGGUUCAACAGUGAAAGACGGUUUUGCUGUCACUUAUAGAUGGAUCCGCGUCGCAUUAGCUAGUUGGUAAGGUAACGGCUUACCAAGGCAACGAUGCGUAGCCGACCUGAGAGGGUGAUCGGCCACACUGGAACUGGGACACGGUCCAGACUCCUACGGGAGGCAGCAGUAGGGAAUCUUCCGCAAUGGGCGAAAGCCUGACGGAGCAACGCCGCGUGAGUGAAGAAGGUCUUCGGAUCGUAAAACUCUGUUAUUAGGGAAGAACAAAUGUGUAAGUAACUAUGCACGUCUUGACGGUACCUAAUCAGAGAGCCACGGCUAACUACGUG